ensembl:lncRNA
GGCUGCCCACGUGCUGCGCCUCCAACGUGAACUGCAGGAGCAAAGGAGAGGCUUCCUGCAGUACAUCCUGCAGCACGGUGAGGGGCAGCCGCCCGUCUCCUGCAACGGGGCCCGGGCCUGCCAUCGGGCUGUGGCAGAGGUGGGUGUUCAGGCUGCAGAGCAACAAGAACCCUGCCCACCUGAGCGCACGGAGCUGCAGGAGCAGAACGCCCAUCUGCUCAGGGAGCUGAAGGAUCUACAGAGACAAGGCAGACUCCUUGGAAAGGAGA